CCUACGGGAGGCAGCAGUGGGGAAUAUUGGACAAUGGGCGAAAGCCUGAUCUAGCCAUGCCGCGUGUGUGAAGAAGGUCUUCGGAUUGUAAAGCACUUUAAGUUGGGAGGAAGGGUAGUAACUUAAUACGUUGCUACUUUGACGUUACCGACAGAAUAAGCACCGGCUAACUUCGUGCCAGCAGCCGCGGUAAU
rnacentral:rRNA from 1 species